rnacentral:tRNA from 1 species
UUCUCUAGUAGCUCAACGGUAGAGCGUAUGGCUGUUAACCAUUAGGUUGUUGGUUCGAAUCCAACCUAGGGAG